rnacentral:lncRNA from 1 species
UUCCAGGAUACCCCUCAAACAAAAAGAAUAUGCUCCCUUCAAUUCAUCCAUUGCAGUGAUGCAGAGAGGUGUUCAUAAAGAGCAAUAUCAGAUGGCACCCCAAAAAAGGAUAUGAAAGAACACCAAAAGGGAACUCUAAAGAUUUAGUUGGAAAAGUAGAUGCAGAGAGGUGUUCAUAAAGAGCAAUAUCAGAUGGCACCCCAAAAAAGGAUAUGAAAGAACACCAAAAGGGAACUCUAAAGAUUUAGUUGGAAAAGUAGCUUCAGUCAUCCUAGCCUAGUCUGUGAUGCUGGGAAAAAACGUAAUAUGCUGUUUAUUGCAGCACUAUUCACAAUAGCAAAGACUUGGAACCAACCCAAAUGUCCAACAAUGAUAGACUGA